rnacentral:lncRNA from 1 species
CAAAGGGGUGCUACCGAGUAGGGAAAGAAGAUUUGUCUUGCCCAGCCCCCUCAAUUGGAGGUUUUGGGAGGAAUUCUUAGCUUCACCCUCCAAUCAGAACUGAAAGUGCAUUGUUUUAUUGAACAGUCAAGAAGCAUUUAUGACCAGGACUCCAGAGAACUGAUAAGGAAGAAUGCUACCUACCCCCUGACAGAAGGAUGCAACCAAGAAUUUCAUCCAAGAACAAAACGCCUAUUGCGUGGCCUGGCACUGGGGACAGG